AUUGCCCUAGUAACGGCGAGUGAAGCGGCAACAGCUCAAAUUUGAAAUCUGGCCCUUUCAGGGUCCGAGUUGUAAUUUGUAGAGGGCGCUUUGGUGUUGGCUGCGGUCUAAGUUCCUUGGAACAGGACGUCACAGAGGGUGAGAAUCCCGUACGUGGUCGACAGUCUUCACCGUGUAAAGCCCCUUCGACGAGUCGAGUUGUUUGGGAAUGCAGCUCUAAAUGGGAGGUAAAUUUCUUCUAAAGCUAAAUAUUGGCCAGAGACCGAUAGCGCACAAGUAGAGUGAUCGAAAGAUGAAAAGCACUUUGGAAAGAGAGUCAAAAAGCACGUGAAAUUGUUGAAAGGGAAGCGCUUGCAAUCAGACUUGCCUGUAGUUGCUCAUCUGGACUCUUGUCCGGUGCACUCUUCUGCGGGCAGGCCAGCAUCAGUUCAGGCGGCUGGAUAAAGGCCUCUAUCACGUAUCUUCCUUCGGGAUGACCUUAUAGGGGAGGUGUAAUGCAGCCAGCCUGGAUUGAGGUCCGCGCAUCUGCUAGGAUGCUGGCGUAAUGAUUGUAAGCGGCCCGUCUUGAAACACGGACCAAGGAGUCUAACAUCUAUGCGAGUGUUUGGGUGUCAAGCCCGGACGCGCAAUGAAAGUGAACGGAGGUGGGAACCCUCACGGGUGCACCAUCGACCGAUCCUGAUGUCUUCGGAUGGAUUUGAGUAAGAGCAUAGCUGUUGGGACCCGAAAGAUGGUGAACUAUGCCUGAAUAGGGUGAAGCCAGAGGAAACUCUGGUGGAGGCUCGCAGCGGUUCUGACGUGCAAAUCGAUCGUCAAAUUUGGGCAUAGGGCGAAAGACUAAUCGAACG
rnacentral:rRNA from 1 species